ensembl:antisense Gm15870 predicted gene 15870
AUUGCUCUUGGGAGAGCCGAGGGCCAGAGUGGCUGCAGGUUUAAGUGGAAGAAAAUAAUACAAGACCUGAACAUUCGAGCUUUGCCAGUUCCUCCCAGAUGCACCCCAUCAUUCCAUGGACCCUUGAAGAGUCACAGCAUGAUCAUCUCAGUCCCUUGGUAUGAGUCAGAGAGCCUCCCCUUGCACCCCAGGCCAUCUGUCCAGCCUUCAAGCUUUUGCCCCUGCCACUGGCAGUGCCUACCUGUCCUUCAUUUCCCAGCUCAGCCCUGCAUCUACAGUGCCAACCCCUGAAGAUGUCCACAGCACUGCCUUCCUGACACCUGCCUGACUCAGCCUUGUCUCCUUGGUCCUCUUGUCUGGACUCAGUGGCUUCUGAUCCCUUCCCUUGCUGCUCCACUGCUCCUUUGCUCUGGGGAGGUCUUCACCUUCGACACAGCAAGACUCAUGGCUCAUGGCUGUCUCAGUUGCUUCUGCCGAAGAGCUCAGUCCUGUCUCCCCAGAGUAACUGUGAGCUUCUUGGGAAAGGAAACACAUCUUGGAGUUCCCUGGCUCUUCCACUGUGCCUGGUAAGGU